rnacentral:misc_RNA from 1 species
GCAAACUUGGUCAUUUAGAGGAAGUAAAAGUCGUAACAAGGUUUCCGUAGGUGAACCUGCGGAAGGAUCAUUAAAGAUUUUUGAUUGGAGCAGCCGGGGGAGUGCCAGCCAGCCUGCGCUUAAUUGCGCGGCCGACGGUGCUUUCUGUUAACGGUUGUCUCUUUCUACACACACACUGUGGAGUUUUUUCUACUUUGCUACUUUUUCUUUGGGCGCAAGCCCAGAGGAUACAAAACACAAACAAUUUUUUAUGUUUAUUUUAGUCAAGAAAUUUUCAUUUUAAGAAAAUAAAAUAUUCAAAACUUUCAACAACGGAUCUCUUGGUUCUCGCAUCGAUGAAGAACGCAGC